rnacentral:rRNA from 1 species
CGUGAAUACGUUCCCGGGUCUUGUACACACCGCCCGUCAAGUCAUGAAAGUCACCAACACCGAAGUCUNAAUUUAUUUCGGCCUAAGGUGGGGGGGAUGAUUAGGACUAAGUCGUAACAACGGUACC